AUGGCCUCCGGCGGCAACGACCGUCUCUCCGGCCUCAGCGACCACCUCCUGCGCCGCGUCCUCCGCUUCCUCCCCGUCAGGGAGGGCGCGCUCACCACCGCGCUCUCGAGGCGGUGGCGCCCGCUCUGGCUCUCCUGCGGCGUCUGGCGCUCCGGCAGCACCCUCAACCUCGUGGGGCGCGCCUACGAGGACAAGGACGACGACCCCCACGCCCUCUACAGCGACGAAGCCCGCCGUCACUUCUACGCCAGGCGCGACGCCUUCGUCUCCGCCGCCCACGAGGCGCUCGACGCCGCCCACAAGGCGGCUGAAGCCGACGGCGAGAGUCCCAUCAGGGCGCUCACCAUCCGCGUGGAGGCCAACGGCGCCAGCAAGAUCCACGAUUUCCUGCACCGCGACAUGGACUACAAACACCACGACGUGCUCGCCGGCUUGCUCUCCCACCCGGCGGCGCGCAGCGUUGAGGAGCUCCGGAUCGCCGCGGUGGACUCCGUCGACGGGAAGCCCAUGUACUUCGAGAGAAGCAAGUAUGAGGCCAGCGCCAACAUUCGUGGGCUUGGGAUCUACCCGCUCGGUCUCGGCUCCCUGCCCUCAGAGACCCUCCGCGUCCUGGAGCACACCAACUGCAGCAGCCUCACCCCGGCCGCCGCCGGCGCGUUUUUCACUCGGUUGUCGUCGUUGCGGAUGCGACACUGCAAUGUUCCCUUUGAGGAACUUCAGCGCAUCGUCGACGCCGCGCCAUUGCUAGCCUUCAUCCAUCUUGAGGCCAUACUCCUCGAGGAGGAACGCCGGUCGAACAACACUGAAGGUAUCUCGCCACCGCCGCCGGAAAAAGGCGAGCUCCGCUCUCUCAGCUUCCCGGCGGCCACCGCACUCGUGCUUGACAAGUGCUCCUUGAAGGAGGAGGGCACCAUGGAGAUCUACGCGCCGAUGUUGCGCCACUUCCGGUACCAAGGGGUCGUCCGACAUAUCUCGCUGAAACCGCCGCCGCCGCUGUUGGCUCGGGCGGAACUGACUCUCCUUGAGCACGGCUACAAACGACAUAGGGACCCACACACGGCCCGCCGGAGCUUCUGGGGAACAGUCCAAGGUUUCAUCCACGCCAAGGAGAUGAAGUUGAGGGUGCGCCAUCUGGAGGAGAUUGCCAUCACCAACGAGACAAGAAAAGCCAAGCUCCUGCCCGAGCUCCGCAGCCUCGAGCACCUAGAGCUCGUGGGAGUGUACACGCCUACUGGCAAGACGGCGGCGGUGGUGAUCGCGAACCUACUCUGCUGCAGCCCGUCGCUGCGCGACCUCGAGAUCAAGCUCAGCACGGCGCAUGAAGAUACUAACAAGAGCAUCUAUUACGGGUUCGAUUUCCUAAAAAGAAAAUACCCAUCCCAGUUCGAAGAGUCCGUCCGUCGUUCCAAGCGUCGCAGAUCACAGUCGAUGGUGGCCGUAGACGAGGAUGACGGUGUUAACUACGAUGGGGCUUCUGAUCUGCGUGGCCGCUCGUUCGAAUGCUUGCGGAGGAGCUUAAGAAGAGUCGGCCUGCAAUUCCAGCAGGAGAAGACGAACUGCUUUGGAGUCAGGCUCAUCAAAUUCUUCGCCGAAAAUGCCAAGUCCUCCAUCGACGAACCAGCAAUGGCCGGAACGCUAAGGUAA
rnacentral:rRNA from 1 species